UACGUAGGGUGCGAGCGUUAAUCGGAAUUACUGGGCGUAAAGCGUGCGUAGGCGGUCCGCGAAGUCUGAUGUGAAAGCCCCGGGCUCAACCUGGGAACUGCAUUGGAAACUAACGGGCUCGAGUGUGGCAUAGGGGGGUGGAAUUCCACGUGUAGCAGUGAAAUGCGUAGAGAUGUGGAGGAACACCGAUGGCGAAGGCAGCCCCCUGGGCUAACACUGACGCUCAGGCACGAAAGCGUGGGGAGCAAACAGG
rnacentral:rRNA from 1 species